rnacentral:tRNA from 1 species
AGCGGUGUAGCGCAGUCUGGUAGCGCGGUGGGCUCAUAACCCACAGGUCGUCCGUUCGAAUCGGACCAUCGCAACCA